rnacentral:rRNA from 1 species
CAUAGGUUAAUGAGGCGAACCGGGGGAACUGAAACAUCUAAGUACCCCGAGGAAAAGAAAUCAACCGAGAUUCCCCCAGUAGCGGCGAGCGAACGGGGAGCAGCCCAGAGCCUGAAUCAGUGUGUGUGUUAGUGGAAGCGUCUGGAAAGGCGCGCGAUACAGGGUGACAGCCCCGUACACAAAAAUGCACAUGCUGUGAGCUCGAUGAGUAGGGCGGGACACGUGGUAUCCUGUCUGAAUAUGGGGGGACCAUCCUCCAAGGCUAAAUACUCCUGACUGACCGAUAGUGAACCAGUACCGUGAGGGAAAGGCGAAAAGAACCCCGGCGAGGGGAGUGAAAAAGAACCUGAAACCGUGUACGUACAAGCAGUGGGAGCACAGAGCAAUCUGUGUGACUGCGUACCUUUUGUAUAAUGGGUCAGCGACUUAUAUUCUGUAGCAAGGUUAACCGAAUAGGGGAGCCGAAGGGAAACCGAGUCUUAACUGGGCGUUAAGUUGCAGGGUAUAGACCCGAAACCCGGUGAUCUAGCCAUGGGCAGGUUGAAGGUUGGGUAACACUAACUGGAGGACCGAACCGACUAAUGUUGAAAAAUUAGCGGAUGACUUGUGGCUGGGGGUGAAAGGCCAAUCAAACCGGGAGAUAGCUGGUUCUCCCCGAAAGCUAUUUAGGUAGCGCCUCGUGAAUUCAUCUCCGGGGGUAGAGCACUGUUUCGGCAAGGGGGUCAUCCCGACUUACCAACCCGAUGCAAACUGCGAAUACCGGAGAAUGUUAUCACGGGAGACACACGGCGGGUGCUAACGUCCGUCGUGAAGAGGGAAACAACCCAGACCGCCAGCUAAGGUCCCAAAGUCAUGGUUAAGUGGGAAACGAUGUGGGAAGGCCCAGACAGCCAGGAUGUUGGCUUAGAAGCAGCCAUCAUUUAAAGAAAGCGUAAUAGCUCACUGGUCGAGUCGGCCUGCGCGGAAGAUGUAACGGGGCUAAACCAUGCACCGAAGCUGCGGCAGCGACGCUUAUGCGUUGUUGGGUAGGGGAGCGUUCUGUAAGCCUGCGAAGGUGUGCUGUGAGGCAUGCUGGAGGUAUCAGAAGUGCGAAUGCUGACAUAAGUAACGAUAAAGCGGGUGAAAAGCCCGCUCGCCGGAAGACCAAGGGUUCCUGUCCAACGUUAAUCGGGGCAGGGUGAGUCGACCCCUAAGGCGAGGCCGAAAGGCGUAGUCGAUGGGAAACAGGUUAAUAUUCCUGUACUUGGUGUUACUGCGAAGGGGGGACGGAGAAGGCUAUGUUGGCCGGGCGACGGUUGUCCCGGUUUAAGCGUGUAGGCUGGUUUUCCAGGCAAAUCCGGAAAAUCAAGGCUGAGGCGUGAUGACGAGGCACUACGGUGCUGAAGCAACAAAUGCCCUGCUUCCAGGAAAAGCCUCUAAGCAUCAGGUAACAUCAAAUCGUACCCCAAACCGACACAGGUGGUCAGGUAGAGAAUACCAAGGCGCUUGAGAGAACUCGGGUGAAGGAACUAGGCAAAAUGGUGCCGUAACUUCGGGAGAAGGCACGCUGAUAUGUAGGUGAAGCGACUUGCUCGUGGAGCUGAAAUCAGUCGAAGAUACCAGCUGGCUGCAACUGUUUAUUAAAAACACAGCACUGUGCAAACACGAAAGUGGACGUAUACGGUGUGACGCCUGCCCGGUGCCGGAAGGUUAAUUGAUGGGGUCAGCGCAAGCGAAGCUCUUGAUCGAAGCCCCGGUAAACGGCGGCCGUAACUAUAACGGUCCUAAGGUAGCGAAAUUCCUUGUCGGGUAAGUUCCGACCUGCACGAAUGGCGUAAUGAUGGCCAGGCUGUCUCCACCCGAGACUCAGUGAAAUUGAACUCGCUGUGAAGAUGCAGUGUACCCGCGGCAAGACGGAAAGACCCCGUGAACCUUUACUAUAGCUUGACACUGAACAUUGAGCCUUGAUGUGUAGGAUAGGUGGGAGGCUUUGAAGUGUGGACGCCAGUCUGCAUGGAGCCGACCUUGAAAUACCACCCUUUAAUGUUUGAUGUUCUAACGUUGACCCGUAAUCCGGGUUGCGGACAGUGUCUGGUGGGUAGUUUGACUGGGGCGGUCUCCUCCUAAAGAGUAACGGAGGAGCACGAAGGUUGGCUAAUCCUGGUCGGACAUCAGGAGGUUAGUGCAAUGGCAUAAGCCAGCUUGACUGCGAGCGUGACGGCGCGAGCAGGUGCGAAAGCAGGUCAUAGUGAUCCGGUGGUUCUG